GACGAACGCUGGCGGCGUGCUUAACACAUGCAAGUCGAACGGAAAGGCCCUGCUUUUGUGGGGUGCUCGAGUGGCGAACGGGCGAGUAACACGUGAGUAACCUGCCCUUGACUUUGGGAUAACUUCAGGAAACUGGGGCUAAUACCGGAUAGGAGCUCCUGCUGCAUGGUGGGGGUUGGAAAGUUUCGGCGGUUGGGGAUGGACUCGCGGCUUAUCAGCUUGUUGGUGGGGUAGUGGCUUACCAAGGCUUUGACGGGUAGCCGGCCUGAGAGGGUGACCGGCCACAUUGGGACUGAGAUGCGGCCCAGACUCCUACGGGAGGCAGCAGUGGGGAAUAUUGCACAAUGGGCGGAAGCCUGAUGCAGUAACGCCGCGUGCGGGAUGACGGCCUUCGGGUUGUAAACCGCUUUCGCCUGUGACGAAGCGUGAGUGACGGUAAUGGGUAAAGAAGCACCGGCUAACUACGUG
rnacentral:rRNA from 1 species